UUUAAAGAGAGAAAGGGUUCGACAAAUCAUGUUAGAAAGAUACCGAUGAUUUUCCGACGGACCACCGGCGACCUAUCCGAUGAAAUGGCAGGAACUGGUGGCGUGUGGCAGAUUGCUGCCAUUAAUAAAGCCUGAGGAUGGAAGGACAUGACCACUGUGGAGGAAAUGGAUCUGGUAGUUCACGUAGGUCUCAAGGGAUGGAAAUUCCUAUAUCUUGGUGACCUUCAUACUAUAGGGAUUUUCUCCAGCAGCUUUAGGGAAAGUCUUUAGAUGAGGAUCAGCAUAAAACAGGGUCAUGGAGGUUGUUGAAGGAACUUUCAAUAGCAGGUGAUUUGUUCUGUACAUGUUUAAAAAACUGUAUU
rnacentral:lncRNA from 1 species